rnacentral:lncRNA from 10 species
UUCAGAGACCACUAUUACCUUUUAUCGUCUAAGCAGCCUCUUUGGAAAAGAGUAAAGUCUAAUAAUCAACAGGCAUACACAGCUCACAGAGACAGACAGGUUACUUAGAACUUUUAAAAUGUUUUAUGUUUUCUAUUAAAUAUAGUUUUUGAGUAAAUAUAUAACGUUGAAAAGUUGAUUAUUCGAGGGUGCUCUGCCACGCUUGACUGAAUCAGUAUCAUUUGGUUUGAUCCACAGAAAAUUUCUUUUAGCAAAGUCAUUCUUUCACAGAUCACGUCUCUUUAUACUUCCUAGCAUGAAAAGCCAUGUAUCCAUUGCUUUGAAAAAUGAUGUCUAUUGUUCCUCUGAAGAACCAGGAUGCUCCAAGCAAACAAUUUUCGAACCAGUAUCCUGGAGGAAAUUAAAAUGAUGCACAAUGUAAUAAGGCAAAUGGAAUGUUGAGCGAUUAUUCAGGAAAUCUGACUGGCCAACGUACAGGGUAGUAAUUCCUUAGACAUUCCAUUCUCAGAGAGAUCUUGUACUUCCCACAGAGAUGUGAAAAAAUCCCCUUGCCUAUAGAACCGCCAUGGGAAGUCAAUGCAAAUCAGUGUAUUUCCUCUUGUUCUGCGUAAAGGAACCAUUACUAAAAAUGCCAGUUUUGAAAGGGUUUCACCUGUUGUUUUCUUUAUUGUUCAGGGUACACCUACCAAAGGCAGGAAAAUCUAAAAACUCUUGUGUUUCCUCAAAGACAAUGUGGCAAAAAAGAAAGGAGAUUUUCUUUUUUUCUUGUUUCUUUUCUUUUCUUUUUUUUCUUUUUGAGACGGAGCUUUGCUCUUGUUACCCAGGCUGGAGUGCAAUGGUGUGAUUUUGGCUCAGCGCAAUCUCCUCCUUCCAGGUUUAAGCAAUUCUCCUGACUCAGCCUCCUGAGUAGCUGGGAUUAAAAGCAUGUGCCAUUACACCUGGCUAAUUUUUUUUUUUUUUUUUUUUUUGUAUUUUUAGUAGAGACAGGGUUUCUCCAUGUUGGUCAGGCUGGUCUCAAACUCCCGACCUCAGGUGAUC